AUGGCCAUAUGACAUUGAAACACUAGUUCUUCUAUGAUCACUGAAGUUAAGCAAUGUUGAGCCUGGUCAGUACCAAGUUGGGUGACUGUUUAGAAAUUCCAGGUGCUGAAAG